GAUGGGCAUGCGUUCCAUUAGGUAGUUGGUGAGGUAACGGCUCACCAAGCCGACGAUGGAUAGGGGAACUGAGAGGUUGGUCCCCCACACUGGUACUGAGACACGGACCAGACUCCUACGGGAGGCAGCAGUGAGGAAUAUUGGUCAAUGGGCGGGAGCCUGAACCAGCCAAGUCGCGUGAAGGAAGAAGGAUCUAUGGUUCGUAAACUUCUUUUGCAGGGGAAUAAAGUGCAGGACGUGUCCUGUUUUGUAUGUACCCUGAGAAUAAGGAUCGGCUAACUCCGUGCCAGCAGCCGCGGUAAUACGGAGGAUCCGAGCGUUAUCCGGAUUUAUUGGGUUUAAAGGGUGCGUAGGUGGUUUGAUAAGUCAGCGGUGAAAGUUUGCAGCUUAACUGUAAAAGUGCCGUUGAAACUGUCGGACUUGAGUGUAAAUGAGGUAGGCGGAAUGCGUGGUGUAGCGGUGAAAUGCAUAGAUAUCACGCAGAACUCCGAUUGCGAAGGCAGCUUACUAAGCUACAACUGACACUGAAGCACGAAAGCGUGGGGAUCAAACAGGAUUAGAUACCCUGGUAGUCCACGCAGUAAA
rnacentral:rRNA from 1 species